rnacentral:rRNA from 1 species
CCUUGUACANACCGCCCGUCACACCAUGGGAGUGGGUUGCUCCAGAAGGCGUUAGUCUAACCGCAAGGGGGACGACGCCACGGAGUGGUUCAUGACUGGGGUGAAGUCGUAAACAAGGUACC